rnacentral:rRNA from 1 species
UACGUAGGGUGCGAGCGUUGUCCGGAAUUAUUGGGCGUAAAGAGCUUGUAGGCGGUUUGUCGCGUCUGCCGUGAAAGCCCAGGGCUUAACCCUGGGUCUGCGGUGGGUACGGGCAGACUAGAGUGUGGUAGGGGAGACUGGAAUUCCUGGUGUAGCGGUGAAAUGCGCAGAUAUCAGGAGGAAUACCGGUGGCGAAAGCGACUCUCUGGACGGCAACUGACGCUGAGGCACGAAAGCGUGGGGAGCAAACAGG